CUGGUCCGUUACUUUUUUAGACGUUGGUUGUUUUAGUUAGUGCUUUCCCGAGCGCGUGUCAUGCAUCGAUCACGGCCAUCCCCUCUCUUCGCCUCCAAGUCACAGGUUCGAUUUGGUUGGCACUGAUGGAGUCCUUGACCGUUUCUGAGGAUUCACUUGUGUAUAAGGACCAAGGAGUGGGGCUUUUGCACUCAGAUGAGGAGAGCAGCAUUGCAGAGCCUGAGAUGAAAAUGUGGGAUCCUACAACGCAAAAUAAGAACUGUAAUCUGAUGUUCACAGACCCCCCA
rnacentral:lncRNA from 1 species